rnacentral:rRNA from 1 species
UACGUAGGGUGCAAGCGUUGUCCGGAAUUAUUGGGCGUAAAGAGCUCGUAGGCGGUCUGUCGCGUCUGCUGUGAAAACUCAGGGCUUAACCCUGAGCUUGCAGUGGGUACGGGCAGACUAGAGUGCGGUAGGGGAGACUGGAAUUCCUGGUGUAGCGGUGAAAUGCGCAGAUAUCAGGAGGAACACCGGUGGCGAAGGCGGGUCUCUGGGCCGUUACUGACGCUGAGGAGCGAAAGCGUGGGGAGCGAACAGG